AGUUGGACAAGAGUGUGCUCCACAGGCUCCAGAUGCUUGGCUCCAGAUGUCCCUGGGUCAAUAAUGGAUGGCUCUGCGGAGGAUGGAGGCUAGCUAGGAAGUGAGCCUUGGAGGAAGUGUGUCACUGGAGGCGGGCUUGAGGGAAGUGUGUCACUGGAGGUGGGCUUGAGGGAAGUGUGUCACUGGAGGUGGGGUUGGGGUGAAGUGUGUCACUGGAAGUGGGCUUUGAGAGUUUACAGUCUCUGUAGCACUUCCAGGUCACUCUUCCUUCCUGCUUUUAGUUCAAGAUUCUAACUCAUAGCAACCCAUGGUGGUCACCAUACCAUCUGCCAGAUGACUGUCACCA
rnacentral:lncRNA from 1 species